GGGGUUGACUGGAUUUGACAGCGGGCAGAAAUGGUAGGUAAGCAUGCAGUGGGUCGGUAAUUUCCACUUAAAUCUCAGUUAUCAAAAUUUUAUCUGGCGAAACUAAUUACGCUCUUGCUGCUUAAUCGAAGUAUAGUAGAUUAGCUUUAUCCUGAUACAAGGUGUCGGGACGAGACAUCACUCGGAAGCUGUUGCUCCGAAGCAUUCCGGUAAAGUGGUGCAGUGAAAUCGGGGAUAGUUCGAAGCGGCCUCGCGUUUCGGAUGAAACUUUAGAGGAUAAGGCAGGGAUUGAUGGCUUUGGUUCUGUCCUUGCACGAAAACUUAGGCAAAGAUAAGCAUGUAGAAAGCUUAUGAUUUCCUCGUUUGGACGAGGGUUCGAUUCCCUCCAGCUCCACAA
rfam:Bacteroides pyogenes JCM 6292 DNA, contig:contig_24.